CCUACGGGAGGCUGCAGUGGGGAAUAUUGCACAAUGGGCGAAACCCUGAUGCAGCGACGCCGCGUGAGUGAAGAAGUACUUCGUUAUGUAAAGCUCUAUCAGCAGGGAAGAAAAUGACGGUACCUGUGUACGAAGCCAUGGCUAACUACGUGAAAGCAGCCGCGGUAAUACGCAGGGGGCAAGCGUUAUCCGGAUUUACUGGGUGUAAAGGGAGCGUAGACGGCAGUGCAAGUCUGGAGUGAAAGGCGGGGGCUCAACCCCCGGACUGCUGUGGAAACUGUACGGCUGGAGUGCAGGAGAGGUAAGUGGAAUUCCUAGUGUAGCGGUGAAAUGCGUAGAUAUUAGGAGGAACACCAGUGGCGAAGGCGGCUUACUGGACUAUAACUGACGUUGAGGCGCGAAAGCGUGGGGAGCAAACAGGAUUAGAUACCCUAGUAGUC
rnacentral:rRNA from 1 species